rnacentral:misc_RNA from 1 species
CGCACAUUGCACUCCUUGGUAUUCCGGGGAGUAUGCUUGUCCGAGCGUCAUUUCACCUCUCAAGCUCGCGCUUGGUAUUGGAUUAUUAUCAUUGAAAAAUGAUAUAUCCGAAAAUGAGUGGCAGGUUAUUGAACUUCAGCGCAGUGAAAUAUAUUCGUCAUGAAGUUUCAGUGAUCUCGCCAGAAAACCUUUCAAUAUCUUGACCUCGGAUCAAGUAGGGAUACCCGCUGAACUUAA